rnacentral:sRNA from 1 species
GCCGGGCGUUGUGGCGGGCGCCUGUGGUCCCAGCUACUUGGGAGGCGGAGGCAGGAGACUCGCUUGAGCCCAGGAGUUGGAGGUUGCUGUGAGCUGUAAUGCCACGGCACUCUGCCCAGGGGGACAGCUUGAGGCUCUGUCUCAAAAAAAAAAAAAAAAAGAAAAUAUCCUUGUGCAGAGAAGAAAAUUAAAAAUAAAAUAAUUGAACCAAAAGGAAAGAAAUUUAAACGCAAGCAGACUUUUUUUUUUUUUUUUGAGACAGAGUCUCAUUUUGUUGCCCUCGGUAGAGUGCUGUGGUAUCACAGUUCACAGCAACCUCAAAC